GUGCUCGCUUUAGCAGCACACGUACUAAAAUUGGAACGAUACAGAGAAGAUUAGCAUGGCCCCUGAACAAGGAAGCCAUGCAAAUUAGCGAAGCAUUCCAUAUUUUU
ensembl:snRNA U6 U6 spliceosomal RNA